rnacentral:rRNA from 1 species
GAAUAUUGGACAAUGGGGGAAACCCUGAUCCAGCCAUGCCGCGCGUGUGAAGAAGGCCUUUUGGUUGUAAAGCACUUUACGCGAGGAGGAGGCUACGCUCGUUAAUACCUAGGGCUAGUGGACGUUACUCGCAGAAUAAGCACCGGCUAACUCUGUCCCCGCAGCCGCGGUAAUACAGAGGGUGCAAGCGUUAAUCGGAUUUACUGGGCGUAAAGCGCGCGUAGGUGGCCAAUUAAGUCAAAUGUGAAAUCCCCGAGCUUAACUUGGGAAGUGCAUUCGAUACUGGUUGGCUAGAGUAUGGGAGAGGAUGGUAGAAUUCCAGGUGUAGCGGUGAAAUGCGUAGAGAUCUGGAGGAAUACCGAUGGCGAAGGCAGCCAUCUGGUCUAAUACUGACACUGAGGUGCGAAAGCAUGGGGAGCAAACA